AGCAAGUCCCGCUUUGGUGGUGUUUUAAGAACUAGAAGUGACAUGUAAAGAGUCAGGCACGGAGAAUAAGUCAGUAAUCCUUGCUAUCGUUGUGCAAAUGGGGCCACCCCUGCAGCCAGGUGGCUUCUGCAUGCUGCUGCCCAUGAGGUGUGACCUUCUUACUCAUUCUUCAUGUCCCCACACAUGGGGACAGACAUGUUGGUUUGAGAGGGUACUAGGCUUGGGUCACAGCUGAGCCCCCUGGCCUUCCCAGUACCUGUGCUUGUAGAGAUAGAGAACGAAGCCGGCGAUGAUGAGUGCGAUGAAAGGCACUAGGAUGGCAGCGGCUACUGAGCUGCUGUUGGAAGCAAAAUGCCGGCCGAUGGACUCGGGAUCUGACUCCAGCAGCCUGAGGUCUGCAAAGUGCCAAAGCAUAAGGCUCAAGUCACACACUCACCCCGAGAUGAUGCUCCCUGCUGGCCACCCCAUCCUGCUGCAGAGCCUCAGGUCUGCACGCUGCACUCCAGGUCCCAUCUUUGACCCUCAUCCUGAUCUACAGACAUCCUGGGCACACCUGGGAACUACCUGCAGGCUCCAUCCCUGCCUUGGCUUCUCCUUGUGGGUCUACCAAGCAGAGUCUCUCAGACACACCAUUCCAGCAGCUAGCCCUGUCCUCAGCUCUGCUGCCCCAGUCCAUUAGAUCAUUUGUUCUUUCGCCAUUCUGUCUUCCCUCUAGGGGUCAAAGACAGCGAUGCAGGGGCUAUUAUAGGUGAUUCUAUGCUCAACGCUCCUUGUGAAGUCAGAAGGAACCCGCACAUGACCAUCACUGGGGACUGGCUUCUACUUUGUGAAUAAUCUACAAUGUAUGUAUUUCCCACAAAGGCAGUCAUGAGAUUCCUGCCUCUCUCUUCUGUGUCCUGGACUCUCAAGCUGUGCUGAGUAACCUACAGUCCACAUCUCAAAUCUAAGUGACCCCAGGAGUCACUGGGGAUUCACCUUGUGCCAGACACACCCAUGGCAUCAUGACCUUCACCCUCGAACUCCUGACCCCUGCUUCCUGUUUGGAUUGAGGAGCUCACACAUUCGUCUCAGAGAUGGUGGCACUUGACUCUGAGUCUUCAAGCCCCUUUCCCCAGUCAAUCAGCUGACCAGGACUCCCCAGCUCCUAGUCCUGGUCUCAAGACUCCUCAGGUUCCCUGGCAACCUCAGUAGCUCCCAAACCCAUUGUCCUAUCUUUGCGAGCAGUCUGGGGACGGGUGAUGUGCAAGGCCCGGGAAAGACUAACUCGCCUCACUUACGUGGCCAUCUAACGCCCACUGGUCGUCUUUGAACCUGUUCACAAAGCUCUCCACAGGCCCUGUGACCUGGUAGACCUGAAGCAGGAGGCGGAAAUCUUCCUUUUUAUAAUUUCCUAGAGAAAGAAAAUAGUUAUAUUUGAAACUCUAUGAACAUUCUCAAAACCCCUAUCUGUGGGUGUCAUGGGCAUGACUGUCUGUGUGACACUUCCGUGUGGACACUGGGGUAAAUGUCCCUUGCACACCCAUUGAUGCAUGUGCUUGAACAUGGUUAAACAUGAGUGUGGGCAGGAACGUGAAGACACGCAUGCUCAUAGCUGAAUAGCUAGAGACUGCGAUUCUGUUUUUAUAUGUUUAGCAAAAGUAUGAUUUUUGUGGGACUGGUGGAAUGGCUCUGUGAGGAAAGGUACCUGACACCAGGCUUACUGACUAGGCUCCAUUCCUAAGAUCCACAUGGCAGGAGAGAACCUCCUCCUGAAAACUGCCCGCUGAUGUCCACACACAUGAUGUGUGCACGUCCAUAAACAAGCAAACACACACAUACACACAUAUAUACAACUUAAAGGUUUUUAAAAGGAAUAUGAUUUUGUAUAUGUUGACCUGACCACCAGUACAUAGGUACAUUUGUUUACAAGUCCAUGAACACAGAAGAGCAGACACACAUGGGAGUGCAUGUCUUUUAUUAGAACAAAUGAGUAAACAGGACUGUAUGUAUGGGGGAGAGCCCGAUCACACGUGGGCUGUGUGUAUGCAAAGUGAUUAAUCCAUUCAUUCGUUCAUCAAUUCAUCUGUCUAGUCAAGAAAACACUUGCUUUUCUGAGUACACAAAAGUUGAAACCUGAAAGAACUUUAAAAAGGGAUGCGUGAAGAUAAAAGAGAUCCCUUCUGGCCUUACUGGUUACUCAGGCAACUUACAAUGGUGCCAAAUACACAUGAUUCUAAAGUGCCAAUAAAAAGGA